rnacentral:rRNA from 1 species
CAGCAGCCGCGGUAAUUCCAGCUCCAAUAGCGUAUAUUAAAGUUGUUGCAGUUAAAAAGCUCGUAGUUGAAUUUCGGGAUCAAUAUAUCGGUCAUGCUUAGGUAUGUACUGGUAUUAUUGAUUUCUCCCUUCUGAAGAACCAUGAUGUCAUUUAUUUGAUGUCGUGGGGAAUCAGGACUGUUACUUUGAAAAAAUUAGAGUGUUUAAAGCAGGCUUUCGCUUGAAUACAUUAGCAUGGAAUAAUGAAAUAGGACGUUUGAUUCUAUUUUGUUGGUUUCUAGGAUCGACGUAAUGAUUAAUAGGGAUAGUUGGGGGCAUUAGUAUUCAAUUGUCAGAGGUGAAAUUCUUGGAUUUAUUGAAGACUAACUACUGCGAAAGCAUUUGCCAAGGACGUUUUCAUUAAUCAAGAACGAAAGUUAGGGGAUCGAAGACGAUCAGAUACCGUCGUAGUCUUAACCAUAAACUAUGCCGACUAGGGAUCGGAUGAUGUUAAUUUUUUAAUGACUC